rnacentral:misc_RNA from 1 species
GAAAUGCGAUAAGUAGUGUGAAUUGCAGAAUUCAGUGAAUCAUCGAAUCUUUGAACGCACAUUGCGCCCUUUGGUAUUCCAAAGGGCAUGCCUGUUCGAGCGUCAUUUGUACCCUCAAGCUUUGCUUGGUGUUGGGCGUCUUGUCUCCAGUUCGCUGGAGACUCGCCUUAAAGUAAUUGGCAGCCGGCCUACUGGUUUCGGAGCGCAGCACAAGUCGCGCCCUCUUCCAGCCAAGGUCAGCAUCCACAAAGCCUUUUUUCAACUUUUGACCUCGGAUCAGGUAGGGAUACCCGCUGAACUUAAGC